rnacentral:tRNA from 1 species
GAUGAGGUGGCCGAGUGGUUAUAUCGAUGGACUGCUAGUCCAUUGUGCUCUGCAUGCGCAGGUUCAAACUCCAUCCUCGUCG